rnacentral:rRNA from 1 species
CCUCCUACGGGGGGCAGCAGUGAGGAAUAUUGGUCAAUGGGCGGGAGCCUGAACCAGCCAAGUCGCGUGAGGGAAGACGGUCCUACGGAUUGUAAACCUCUUUUGCCGGGGAGCAACGGGGUCCUUGCGAGGGCCCGAUGAGAGUACCCGGAGAAAAAGCAUCGGCUAACUCCGUGCCAGCAGCCGCGGUAAUACGGAGGAUGCGAGCGUUAUCCGGAUUUAUUGGGCGUAAAGCGAGCGCAGGCGGUUGCGUAGGUCUG